rnacentral:lncRNA from 1 species
CUCUUCAGCAAAUGAACCAAUUCAUUCAAAUAAUACAAAUAAUACAGAAGGUAACAGCAGUAAACCAUCAUAUUCUGAAGAAUGCUUGGAAGAAAAGACAGUUGUGUUACUUCCAGACUCUUCAAAAAAACUACUAGUUUCACCACACAAGACAAAUAAAACUACCACAGAUUUGGAAAAAUCUUCACAGGAAACUAGAGUCUGCAGUACUGUAUCUUUGUGUAAAAGAAAUAAAACACCCAGGCCAGCAAGAUGCAGACUCCCAAAACCUAAACCAAAUCUUAACAGUGGCUCGGUAUCUACUAGGAAUGUUUCUCAAAAACCUCUAAAUCUAAGUUCAGAUAUGGAAGAAUAUAAAGAAAUCCAAAAAGUGGAAACCUGAUACAAGAGAUUAGUGAAAUUGCAUCUGAAUUAACAUCUCCAAAAUGUUCUCAAGAAGCAGUGGCUUGUUUAUCUGAAUCACCAGAUAAUUUCAACAUAAAGAGUAACAUUCACGCUUUUGAGUCUGCUGAACACCAGUUUUCUACAGCUGAAGUUGCACAAGUAAGACAUGUUAAUUAACGGAUAUAGCUACAUUUUGGAAUGUAGUAGAAAAGGAAA